GUGGUACAGCCGUCCCCUGUAAGCACAGGGGGCCACUGUGUUGGGUGAGCCAGGCCACGUCCCAGGUGCUGUCGGGGGGACGGAGGCAAGCCCCAUGAUGACACGCGGAGGGAACCGCAGGCCGGGCGGGGCCUCUCCUCACUUCCAAGCUUAAAUGUUGCAGGAGGAGCUAAGAUGCUCCUUGGUCCCGAGGGUUUCAAGUCCCAGGAGGAGCUGCUGUCUGUCUCCCCGCAGCGCACGGACUCGCCUCCUGGGUGUCUGUCAGCAGAGAAGGGCAGCGUUGCCCACCCAGCCGCACGGGUCUGUGGUGAGCAAGAGGGAGAAGAUAAAAUGCUGCUUCUUCUCAACCAAGCUUCGAAUCCCAACUCUGAGACGGAAUUGCUGGGUGACUGUGGGCAAAGCGCCUCACCUCUCUGAGCCUCAGACUCUUUCAUCUGUAGAAUGGGGCUGAUCGUCUCUGCCUCUCAGCAUCACUGCACGUAGAAGGCGUGGAAGGAGCUCGAAGAAGGAGCGCCCUCCCCUUCCGCUCGCGGCUCUGUUUGGGCGGUGGCCGCGGUGGCCACCUGGCGGCUCUGUAUCCGCGGAGGGCGAGCAGACCCCUCAUCUCUCCCCUCCCUUAGCCUGCAUCUCUCCUGCAUCUCCAUCAACGGCACCUGCCGGUGGUCCAGCCAAGCCCCUGGGGGUCGUCAGCGUCCUCCUCCGGCCGCCACGGCCCGGCCACGCCUGCUGCCCCUCCCGCCGGCAGGAGGGUCUCUUCCCGUCUUUGCUGCUGGUUUUGGC
rnacentral:lncRNA from 1 species